rnacentral:rRNA from 1 species
CCAAUAGCGUAUAUUAAAGUUGUUGCAGUUAAAAAGCUCGUAGUUGAAUUUCGGGAUCAAUUUAUUGGUCGUGCUAUUGUACGUACUGGUAUUAUUGAUUCCUACCUUCUGACGAACCAUGAUGUCAUUAAUUUGGUGUCAUGGGGAUCAGGACUGUUACUUUGAAAAAAUUAGAGUGUUUAAAGCAGGCUCACGCUUGAAUACAUUAGCAUGGAAUAACGAAAUAGGACGUUUGAUUCUAUUUUGUUGGUUUCUAGGAUCGACGUAAUGAUUAAUAGGGAUAGUUGGGGGCAUUAGUAUUCAAUUGUCAGAGGUGAAAUUCUUGGAUUUAUUGAAGACUAACUACUGCGAAAGCAUUUGCCAAGGAUGUUUUCAUUAAUCAAGAACGAAAGUUAGGGGAUCGAAGACGAUCAGAUACCGUCGUAGUCUUAACCAUAAACUAUGCCGACUAGGGAUCGGAUGAUGUUAAUUUUUUAAUGACUCAUUCGGCGCCUUACG